AUGACAACCCAUGUGCAAGCGAAACUGAGAGAUGUGAAGAACAUGAAUUGGUGUAAGUUCAUUGCUGACUUACUGCAUGAUGCAUUCUCAAGCAAGAUGUACCAGAAGGGUUGUCGGUUGCAUUUAAUGCUCAUGUACGUCGACCGUCUUGAUCUGUCCAUCGUGGAUUUCACUGGGACAGGAGGCCCGCCGCCUACACACAAGUUUGCUGUUUCUGCAUGGACUUACGAUGAUGUCAAGGCUGUGCUUGUUGCAGACAGGGUAACUGAUUCUAAGUAUUUAGGAUUGCAGCUGAUGGCCAAGCAUGCUAUAGACUACAGCAUGUUUGGGGGGCCUCAAAACUUCGGAAAGUGGAUGGGUGUGCACUCAGCUCCGUCUUGCCCUACUGAGGCGAGGGCAUCUGUUAAGCAUCUAAUUGGGCAGUUUGGAUCCGGAAUGACCAGCUUGCUCGGGAAGUUGGUUGAGGGUUGGACGUCCCUUAAUGGCUCUGACAGCGAUGCGGUUGCGAGGCAGUUCAUUACAUUUGUCGCAGAACAGACACAUCGGCCAACUGGUUGCCAUGGCCGGUACGACUACAACAAUUCCCAAGAGCUUGCUGACACACAAGAUGAACUAGAUGGAGACGCUGGUCUCAACAAGGAUGAUGAAGAUGACAUGGAGAACGUGCAACACGACACCGAUGAUGAUGAACAUGUUGAAGUUCGUGCAGGUGGUAAGAAGGGCAAGGAUGCACCAUAUGUCCCCCCACUGAAGAAAGACAAAGAACAUACAGCUGCGAGAGGCGAGGGGGUGUUGCCCUCAAAGAGGGGGAGAGCUCCAGAGGAUGUUGGGCAGGGUUCUCCUGGCAAGAGGUCUAGGACCGAUCCCGUAGCUGUUAGGAGGAGUGAAGCGACAACUGGUGGACGAGUAGUUACGAAGAAACAGGCACCAACGCCAACCCGUGUUUCUGCUCGAUUGAACAAAGGUGCCCCCAUUGCUGGUGACACCCCUUCCAACAGGUCAUCUCCUCGUAUGACGACAUCCAACAUCGGGGAUCCUGUCGUGUUGCCAGACAUGAGAAAGCCAGGUGAAGAAGACUACUACACGUGCGACCAAGCAUAUCCAUAG
rnacentral:rRNA from 1 species